rnacentral:rRNA from 1 species
UACGUAGGGUGCGAGCGUUGUCCGGAAUUAUUGGGCGUAAAGGGCUCGUAGGCGGUCUGUUACGUCAGGAGUGAAAUCUCGGGGCUUAACCCCGAGCCUGCUUCUGAUACGGGCAGACUAGAGGUAUGCAGGGGAGAGCGGAAUUCCUGGUGUAGCGGUGAAAUGCGCAGAUAUCAGGAGGAACACCGGUGGCGAAGGCGGUUCUCUGGGCAUUUCCUGACGCUGAGGAGCGAAAGUGUGGGGAGCGAACAGG